AUUCUCCACAUGGGGAGCUACACUAUAUUACCAAAAGGACCAGCUUGCCUGUCUUGUGUUUGGUGAUGUGAGACUUGGAUGAAGCUGCACUACUGAUCUACUGUUCUUGAGCUAGUCUGAAUACCACAUGACGUUUGGAGGUGUGUAGUGAUGAACUCUGAAGCUACAUGAAGUUUGGAGGUGUGUAGUGAUAAACUCUGAAGCUACAUGACGUUUGAAGGUGUGUAGUGAUGAACUCUGAAGCUACAUAAAGUUUGAAGGUGUGUACUGAUGAACUCUGAAGCUACAUGAAGUUUGGAGGUGUGUAGUGAUGAACUCUGAAGCUACAUGAAGUUUGGAGGUGUGUAGUGAUGAACUCUGAAGCUACAUGAAGUUUGAAGGUGUGUACUGAUGAACUCUGAAGCUACAUGAAGUUUGGAGGUGUGUAGUGAUGAACUCUGAAGCUACAUGAAGUUUGGAGGUGUGUAGUGAUGAACUCUGAAGCUACAUGAAGUUUGGAGGUGUGUAGUGAUGAACUCUGAAGCUACAUGAAGUUUGGAGGUGUGUAGUGAUGAACUUUAAAGCUACAUGAAGUUUGGAGGUGUGUAGUGAUGAACUCUGAAGCUACAUGAAGUUUGAAGGUGUGUACUGAUGAACUCUGAAGCUACAUGAAGUUUGGAGGUGUGUAGUGAUGAACUCUGAAGCUACAUGAAGUUUGGAGGUGUGUACUGAUGAACUCUGAAGCUACAUGAAGUUUGGAGGUGUGUAGUGAUGAACUCUGAAGCUACAUGAAGUUUGGAGGUGUGUAGUGAUGAACUCUGAAGCUACAUGAAGUUUGGAGGUGUGUAGUGAUGAACUCUGAAGCUACAUGAAGUUUGGAGGUGUGUAGUGAUGAACUCUGAAGCUACAUGAAGUUUGGAGGUGUGUAGUGAUGAACUCUGAAGCUACAUGAUGUUUGGAGGUGUGUAGUGAUGAUGAACUCUGAAGCUACAUGAAGUUUGGAGGUGUGUAGUGAUGGACUCUGAAGCUACAUGAAGUUUGGAGGUGUGUAGUGAUUGGUGUAGUGACUCUGCUGAAAGUUGGUGAACUCUGUGCACUAUGCUCCUCAGCAUCCGCUGACCCCGCUCUGUUAUUUUACACUGACAGAGCACAGAGUCGCUGUCGUUCCCAGUCUCUUCCACUGUGUUAUAAUAUCACUGACAGUUGGCUGUGGAAUAUUUAGUAGUGAGGAAAUUUCACGACUGGACUUCCUAUCAUGGUACCUCACUGGAGUUCACUGAGCUCAUCUUGUCCGUGUGUCACUGUGAUAGAGAUUCAGAAAGAGUGAGACAGAA